AUUGAACGCUGGCGGCAUGCUUUACACAUGCAAGUCGAACGGCAGCGCGGGCUUCGGCCUGGCGGCGAGUGGCGAACGGGUGAGUAAUACAUCGGAACGUGCCCAGUAGUGGGGGAUAGCUCGGCUAAAGCCGGAUUAAUACCGCAUACGACCUGAGGGUGAAAGCGGGGGAUCUUCGGACCUCGCGCUAUUGGAGCGGCCGAUGGCAGAUUAGCUAGUUGGUGAGGUAAAGGCCUACCAAGGCGACGAUCUGUAGCUGGUCUGAGAGGACGACCAGCCACACUGGGACUGAGACACGGCCCAGACUCCUACGGGAGGCAGCAGUGGGGAAUUUUGGACAAUGGGCGAAAGCCUGAUCCAGCAAUGCCGCGUGUGUGAUGAAGGCCUUCGGGUUGUAAAGCACUUUUGGCGGGAACGAAAAGGACUGUGCCAAUACCACGGUUCGAUGACGGUACCCGCAGAAUAAGCACCGGCUAACUACGUG
rnacentral:rRNA from 1 species